CGUGGGAGAUCUCCACCGACCUAAAGGAUGAAUCUAAACCAUACAAUCUAUGUUGGUUUGAUCCAACGGCCCAUAUUCACUUGAAGGGACUAUAAAACCAGACCCCCUGGCCCCUGGAGGAGAGAGCCUCUCAACCCUAAUUCAUUGUUCUUCAAGAGAGAAGAAGCCUGUGAUCAAGAUUAGAGCCACCACAUCAAUU
rnacentral:lncRNA from 1 species